UUAGAUGCUACGGAAAAGGGGACACGGUCACGAUGUCCGUAUCCACUCUUUCUCGUAGAAUCGAACCUCCUUCUUGACAUACGUUGCUGCUCGGCGGAAAAAAUCCUCGGAGAGAUGAACACGGUAUGCAAGUUCAACAAGUAGCAGAAGUCAUCUAUGUACAAAAAUUCUUUCCUUACCACUACAGAAGUUGUUGAACUUGAAGACCGUGUUCAUUUCGCGAGGAUGUCCUCAGCUGGGCGGCACCGCACUUCAUCAUGAAAGAGGUUAGAUGCUACGGAAAAGGGGACACGGUCACGAUGUCCGUAUCCACUCUUUCUCGUAGAAUCGAACCUCCUUCUUGACAUACGUUGCUACUCGGCGGAGAACAUCGUCGCAGAAAUGAACACGGUAUGCAAGUUCAACAAGUAUAUGGAUUUAAAAAACCAUAUUGAAUUUGAUAAGAUAAACCGUCUAGACAAGGUAGCAUCAUUUUUAAACCACUGAAAUAAUGCAUACUAUAUAUGACACAUCAAUCUCCCUCACAUUCUAGCUCAAAAUACCUCUCCAUUUUUCUACUUCAUCAUCACAUUGUAGCAAAUAAUCUUUC
rnacentral:lncRNA from 1 species